rnacentral:rRNA from 1 species
AGUCGAACGGUAGUAUGGUGCUUGCACUAUAUGAGAGUGGCGGACGGGUGAGUAACACGUAGAUAAUCUACCCUUGUGUUGGGGAUAGCUUAUGGAAACAUAGGGUAAUACCGAAUACGGUCUUAGAAUCGAUAGGGUUUUAAGAAGAAAGGUGCUACGGCAUCGCACGAGGAGGAGUCUGCGGUAGAUUAGCUAGUUGGUAAGGUAAAGGCUUACCAAGGCGACGAUCUAUAGCCGGCCUGAGAGGGUGAACGGCCACACUGGGACUGAGAACGGCCCAGACUCCUACGGGAGGCAGCAGCUAAGAAUCUUCCGCAAUGGACGAAAGUCUGACGGAGCGACGCCGCGUGAACGAAGAAGCAUGUUGUAAAGUUCUUUUAUCAGGGAGGAAUAAUGAGAGGAGGGAAUGCCUUUCAGAUGACGUUAACUGAUGAAUAAGCCCCGGCAAAUUACGUGCCAGCAGCCGCGUAACACGUGAGGGGCGA